CACCCCCACCCCUUCUCUCUUCUCCAUCUCGAGACAGGUGUAUGCCUUCCUAUAGACUUGAGGCAACAACGACACUUGGGACUAUGGGUCUGUGGACCAGAGUGUGUUUUUACAGGGCAAGAAGAAAGAAAAUAAAUGGAAACUAACACAGUUGAUGAAGCAAGAGAAGAAGAGGUUAGAAAGGAACAACAAACGCUCUUGGGCCCAGCAGGGAGGGAGGCAGCAGCUGAAAGGUCAACACUCAGAUCAACCAACACUUUGGUUUCCAUCAGCCCCACCUCAAAAUCAAGAAAGUCAAGCAGGUUUGAGUGAGACACAUCCACACCCCCUGCACUCAGAACCAGCCAGAGUCAUCUAAUCCGACGGGAAGAUGCAGCUGCUGUGAGUUUGCUGUCGGCGUCGGACCAUAGCUAUUGGACUGUGAGGACGUGACCGUGACGUGAAGGUGGACUCUCAAAUCUUCCGAUAGAGAGUGUGUGUGUGUGUGUGUGUGUGUGUGUGUGUG